AAGUCGUAACAAGGUCUCCGUAGGUGAACCUGCGGAGGGAUCAUUAACACGUUUCCACGUAUCAACCAAACGCGAACUCGAGGUGAAAAGCGCAAGCCUAGUAAUCUCAAUCGACCUGAAACUAAUUAAUUGUUUAAAUUUACUAGUGAUGGGCAAAUGUUUAACGCAAGUUGAACAAUUGCGGUGAAAUUAAACUUACAUAGCUCGACUAUGAAAAUUAGUUAGUCUCAGGUUUACACUUUCUUUUCAUCACAGGAUAACAAACCCCUUUCACCCCCUUAUAACAAUUGACUGAUUCUAUUUAAUCGGAGAAAUCCUUUUAAAUAAAUAAAACAAACUAAAGCACAACUCUUAGCAACGGAUAUCUAGGUUCUC
rnacentral:misc_RNA from 1 species